rnacentral:rRNA from 1 species
UACGUAGGGACCGAGCGUUGUUCGGAAUUACUGGGCGUAAAGGGCUCGUAGGUGGCCAACUAAGUCGGACGUGAAAUCCCUCGGCUUAACCGGGGAACUGCGUCCGAUACUGGAUGGCUUGAGUUUGGGAGAGGGAUGCGGAAUUCCAGGUGUAGCGGUGAAAUGCGUAGAUAUCUGGAGGAACACCGGUGGCGAAGGCGGCAUCCUGGACCAACACUGACACUGAGGAGCGAAAGCCAGGGGAGCAAACGGG